UUUGGUUGCUUUGGAUCCACAAGCUGCCUCCAUUCCUAUGCCCAAGCUAAAGAACGUGAGCAGAUUACGAACAGAACAUUGUGUGUAAGUAAAAUAACCAACUUUCUCAAACUAAAUAUCCUUGAAUGCACUAACAAAAUGACAGGGAAAGAAAGAAAGGAACUGGUAAUUAUAUGUCUAGAAUCAUCAAUCCUGGAAUAUUCAAAGAUGAAGAGUUACAACUUAUAACGAAUUUAUUAUAAUAGAAUAGUAAUGUAGGGGAGGGGAGGGGGUAGGAUGGGAGGAAUUAUUCUUAUCAUGUGUAGCUAAGAGGACGGAAAUGGAGGUGGGAAUGACCCCUUUUUUGUUUAGUUCAGGAGGGUAGGGAAGAGGUUUUAAUGAUUUUAGGUUUCAAAAUCUUAAGAAGGGCAUUUUUUCAUACAAAUUAUUUUUCUUCCAAAUCUCCUCACUUUUGGAAGAGAGACAAAAUUUAGUUAAUAGGGGGUUUUGGCCUCCUCUCCCCUCCCCUACAAUUUGGACCCAAAAAAAACGACCUUCCCCUACCCUUGAACCAAAUACUAAGCAUGAAAAGAAAUCAAGAAUAGAGUUUCACAUGUACAAUUUCCACCAUGCUAUAGCAAUUAAAAAAUUAAUGCUGAUUUUGUGUUCACUUUCAUGCAGUUAUGAGCUCCCAGAUACGCAUCCUCUUCUGGAAGGGGUGAGUUAUUUACUACAUCUGUUAAUCAAAGCCAUGUUUUCCCCUAUAUUUUCAACUUUUAUUAAUCAUUCUACAUUACAGUGGGACGUGCGAGAGCCUGAUGAUCCAGGCAAAUACCUUCUUGCUAUAUGGACACCAGGUAGAUAAAGUUAACAUUUUCACUACUCUGCUUCUAUCCGGAUGAACUUAGAUGGGCUGUGAAGUCUUAGUUUGCAACUAUGCAUCUGUGUUCUGGUGUUUCUAACUGAUUUUUCCAAAUAAAUGAUCACAUUAGGUGAGACAGCAAAUUCAAUACAACCACCUGAAAACAAAUGCAGCUCUCAAGAAGAAUGUGGCCAACUCUGCAGCGAGAAAGAAUGUUUCUCAUGCAACAGUUUCCGUGAAGCAAAUUCACAGAUAGUUAGAGGGACAAUCCUGGUCAGAAUGCAAAUCAAAAUAAUUUUAACCAUAUAUUGCUUACUAAUUUCUAUAUUACAGGGGUAGUGGAUCAUAUUUGUAUAUGAAUUAAAAGCAUUAUAUUAGACCGACUUAACUCACGAUAAAUAUGAACAGAUACCAUGUCGAACAGCUAUGCGGGGGAGCUUUCCACUAAAUGGCACUUAUUUCCAAGUCAAUGAGGUUAACCUAGUGCUAAAUUGCAGAUCGCUAAGUUUCGUGCCCCUUUUAUAUUAGAAGCUUUGCAAUUUAAGCAAUACUAAUAUGUAUUAUUUGGAGCAGGUAUUUGCUGACCAUGACUCAAGUCAUGAACCAAUUAGUGUUCCCCGAAGUUGGCUCUGGAACCUCAACAGACGUACAGUAUAUUUUGGAACCUCCAUACCAACAAUAUUUAAAGGUAAAGAAUUACAAAGCAUAGUAAUAUAUUCAGUGAUAAAUUUCUAUAUGUCAAACAAUCAAGUUGAAUAUAUUUUUUUGCCAAACAGGUUUAUCAACACAAGAUAUUCAACAGUGCUUCUGGAGAGGUAAGAUUUAACUCACAGAAUGUAAUCCUGCUUUGUUAAUUGAAUAUCCUACUUUAGCCUAUUUUUAUUGGUGUGAUUAACAUCACUAAUUUUCAUUUUUGGGGGCAUACUACGGGGGCAAAGGACUAAAGAAACGCACUUCCACAACUUUAUUUGCUAUUGACACGAUGGCUGCCUCCUUAAUAAGCCACCUCCCAUCUAUAGUUUUUAGGUUAAUUUUACAAGCAUCUAAUCAAUUCAUCUAUACUAGGAGAAGGUGGAGCAUAUAGUGAAUUUAUAAUAUAAGCCACUUUCUGCUAUAAAUCCUACUAAGCUUGCUUCUUUAGCAUAAGUUAACAGCAUGGAACCAGGUCAAAUGCAUCGCCCAGCAUAUUAACCAAAAAUUUAAGUGACCUAAAAUAAUUAGUAGGGUGAAUUAUUUGUGUAACAAAGAUUUAUUUACUUGUUUCUAGCCUCCAUCUCAUCCAAAAGCAUGUCAUAACUUUGUCGACUCUAUGUGACAACUUGCCCUGUUUAGUAUUUUACUAGUAAAACUAACUAUGCGGUUUACCUCUGGCAUCAGAAAAGCAAGUGUCCAAGAUAAUACCACCUAUCUAACAAAUGGUGGAAAUGCUUUGCAGGAUAUGUCUGUGUGAGGGGUUUUGACAGGAUAUCACGAGCACCCCGGCCUCUGAUGGCCAGGCUCCACAUGCCAGCCAGCAAAUUGCCCAAGCCCCAGCCUAAAGAGAAGCCAAAAAAAGAGCCUAAACAGAAGACAAAAAAAGAGUCAAGUUCGGCGAAAGGACAAGGACCGGAACCAAAUCCAAAACUUCCAGAAUUGGUUUCUAGCAGUCACGACCUUCAGAACAGGAAAACAGCCUGAAGACAAGUCUGAACUACUCAUCCCAUACUGUGUAGCUCAGCGGCAUGUGUAUAAUGACAAAGUCAUUAUGUAACUUAACCUUGAGCUUUUUUUCUUGUAAUGCUCAGAGACUGAGCCGUUUUUCUAUACUAGGACCCAAUAAUGUCCCAUUGGUAACAGAAUAGGUUCUAGCUUCUUGUUCUUAAAAAAGAAAAAAUCAUUACAGGCAGAGGAAUGUGAGCCCUUUAAAUUUAAUGCUAAGAUAACAUGAAAUGAGGCUACUUACAGAAGAGCUGAGUACUGUUUUUUUAUCCCAAUUUCAUGCAGAGAUACACUCUGGAAAAUUCUUGAUUUGAAAUUUAUGUGCCUCGCUACACCAGCUCCGCUUCCACCUAUAAUCAGAUUUUUCAUUUGAUGUUCCAUUGAUAAGAUGAUGAUAAACACUGCAAAGAAAAACAAAACAAAAAAACUCUCCUGUCAGGUUAAACUCUACUGUCCAAAUUUUGGUUCUAAAAGCAAUAAAAGUGAAUCCUAACUUGUUAACAAUUUUCGAAGCUAAGUAAAAGUAGCAGCAAAAAUAGUUUGAUAGAGGUGAUUCCACCAAAAUCACAGUGAUACUUCAAACCACAUUUGAAAGGCAAAGUGUGUUUGUUGUGUGGGAAAAUAUACAUCCUAGUGCACAAAUGGAAAAAUAAGAUUACCCACAUGGAUCCGUGUUGAAUUCAACAUAAACUCAAACACACAAAACCCAUGUUGGUCAAACACACAAAUUUGAUUCAAAAAACCAUGGUAUUCAAGAUUGAAAAUUUGGUUUAAUAGCAUACUUAUCAUGUUGGUCAAACACAAAUUGAUUCAAAAAAACCAUAGUAUUCAAGAUUGAAAUUUUGGUUUAAUAGGGUUUUAUAUUGGGAACUUGGGAUCUAGUGCCAACUCGUCACGGUCAGACUCAAAACUGGGAUAGCAGGAUCACAAAAAGUGGGAUGGUUGGGCUAGUGAACUUUUGUCUACCAUAUAUACAUACUAAAUCAAUGAUAAAUACAUGAUAGAACAGAGGAGAAGGAGACAAAGUGGGUAGAAGACGCUCACCAGAGAUAGUUCAGAGGUCUUGUCGUGAUGGUCCUCGGUCGGCUCUAAGUCGAAGUGGAUAGAAGAUAGCGAAAGAUUGAACAAAAUACAGUGCUAGGGUUUUUUCCAUGGCGAAAACCCCUGAAUGGAAACCCCAACAUUUACAUUUGGGAAACAGUUUUGGAAUUGGGCAUUCACUAUCCCACCGGGAUUUUGGCUAGGAUCCCAGCGGGGAUGGCCGGGACUAUGAACUGGGUCGGGAUAGGAAAAUUCAUCACAUGCCUGGCUAAGACGAGAUUGACAACUUAUCGUGGGAUUAGGUUAUUGAAUGGCGAGUUGAAUUGUGAAUCAGAAUAGCUAUUUUUCGAAUCGCGCAUCAUUUUUUUCUUGUAAGAUAGAUACAUGAUUCACAAAAAAUCAAGUUAUAAAUGAAACAUAAGUUGAUAACAUAUAAUAAACUAUAAACCUUAAAAUAAUACAAGUUCUAAGCCAUAAAUCAAAAUAAGAAAAAAAGAUAGGAGGUGCUUGCAUAAGGUAAGGUAUUCAACCCCUUCAAAAAACAUGACCAAAUGCAAAUUAUUUUCCUACUUCAUAUACUUAGAUCCAAGUAAAUAAUCAUAAUCUAACUAAUUGAAUCAUUCAUCAUCCCCAAAUUCAACACUAGUGUUAUUGAAUAGUCGUCCUGGCAAUAUCUCAUGGUGGAUUUUUGGCUCAUCCCCAUCUCAAGUGCAACUCGCCCACAACUUUAAAUCGUAAGAUUUAACAACGAAUCACAAAUCGUAAAAUUCACUGCUGACUCGAAGAUACAUAAUGAGAAUCAAGUUCAUUUUAGGUUCACACACCAUACUUAUUGUUGCCUUAAUAAUUUGUAUCGUAUCAUCAUGAUCAUGACACGCAUCUUGGUAUCAAUGUCAUACCAAUAACUAUGUCAUACAUAAAGGUUUUGUGAGGAUGAAGAUGAAGGGAAGGUUCAAACCUUGAGGAGGGGCUAAUUUACUAACAACUAAUAUUUUCCUAUAAAAAAAUACCGAUUUGGGGCAGUAAUGAUUCAUGAACCACUACAUAGUAAAACACCCCUAAACACCCCUUUUUCCUGCAGAUUUGGCCAAAUAAUACACUGAACUAACCACCUAAAUACACAUGACUUACCAUAAAGCACAGAACCGUGUAAAAUUGAAAUUCCUAAAUUAGGGAUUUGGCCAAAUAAUACACUGAACUAACCACCUAAAUACACAUGACUUACCAUAAAGCACAGAACCGUGUAAAAUUGAAAUUCCUAAAUUAGGGAUUUGGCCAAAUAAUACACUGAACUAACCACCUUUUACACGGUUCUGUGCUUUAUGGUUAGUCAUGUGUAUUUAGGUGGUUAGUUCAGUGUAUUAUUUGGUCAAAUCCGCAGAAAAAAUGGUGUUUAGGGUGUUUCUACUAUUCAGUGGUUCAGGAAUCAUUUUUCGAUUUGGAGAAAAGAAAAUAGUCGGAUUCCAGAUUUAACAUGCCAAAAUCACUUCUCUUCACAAGGUGGUUAGUUCAGUGUAUUAUUUGGUCAAAUCCGCAGAAAAAAUGGUGUUUAGGGUGUUUCUACUAUUCAGUGGUUCAGGUAUCAUUUUUCGAUUUGGAGAAAAGUAACUAGUCGGAUUCCGGAUUUAACAUGCCAAAAUCACUUCUCUUCACAAGAGCUAUUCUUAUAGCAUGUUUGGAUCGGCGGUGGCAUAAACCCAAAACACAUGAAUCCCAAAAAUUACACUCCUAAUAGUUACUCCCCGAAUCAAUAUUCUUAUAAUGCCCAAACUUCAAUCGUUCUGCAGCCAAAAAAAUCUAUAAAAAAACAAACAACUAAAAAAUAAAUAUUUAUGCAGCUAUGCUAGUAUAUAUUCACCCAGUUCACAAAAUCAACAACACAAUAAAAUCAAACUAACUGCAAAGUGACGAAGAGGAAACGAAUAUGGAGAAGAAGCUUACCUUGGUUUUCGUGCUAAGAGAUGAAACGGAGAGAAAAUCGAACUUCUGAGAUGUGCGCGGCGAGGUAGAGAAGAAGAGAAACAGAAAGUGGAGCGGUUUGGUGAAAUGUUUUGCGAAUUGGCUGUUUUUGCCGCCUUAGCGCCAUUUUCAUAUGCUUUUCUUCCCUCCCUGAAUUUUCGAGAAUUUUGGUGUGGAAAUUUUGCCGCUGGAAUGGGGAAAAUGUUUACAUCAGUUUAGGGAUUUGACUCGACUAAAGUGAAGACGAAACUUUCUUUCUAAAGGUAAAGUUACUUCCUGC
rnacentral:lncRNA from 1 species